UUAUAGCUAAGUAAUAUUACACAGUAUGGAUGUGUGUUUAGCUUUACAUUGUUGAAAGUCUAAAUGCCUUUUUGAAAUGAUAUUUUCAACUUACAAUGGGCUUAUCAGGAUGUAAUCCCAUUGUAAGUUGAGGAAGAUGUGUAGUCUCCUUAUGUGUCAAGUUAUCUUUGUGUAACAUACAUUGUAUAUAAAAAUGUGUUCGUGAAAUGAUUUGAGACCUAGGAUAAUGGUACCUUUCUCUAGAGAGGAUUUUCCAUUUGCUUUUGCCAAACACCUGGGGAUAUUAGCAAUCUAGAAUUGCCUUUAUUCAAUUUCAAGAAUUGAGAUUUUCUAGGGCACGUAGACCUGAGGGCUGGAUUACUGUUGUUCACUUAUAUUAGUAAAGUAUAGCCCUUCUGGGUCCCAAACCAAGGUGUUCACCUGAGCCCCCAACCUUAACAGGUCCUAGAUUCCAACUUUUGUUGCCCCAUGAACCUGUCAAAAGCACUCCUGUCCACCGUCUCUUGCAAACUUUCAAGUUCCAGCAGGGAAAAUGUUCCCCUCUUCCUGUAUACUCUCUCCUCAAAUACCAAACUCACAUUUCUGUAUUUCUGUGUUCUUCUGGAUUUGGGGUCCUAAUUAUUCACUACCUCAUCAGCAGUCUGUGAGUUUCAAGCAAACGUUUUUGGGGUUCCCCUCCAGCUUUUCUAGUUGUCUGUGAUACAUCUAAAUUGCCUUGUCUUCCAUUUUCCAAAGCCAUUCAUAAACCCUCUGACCUUUGAUCUCAACUGUAAAAUGAGGGUAAUAAUUAUAUCUCUAUCUUAUAGAUGAAAGGAUUAAAUAAAGUUGCAUUGGUAAGGUGCUUAGCAAAGUACUUACAUCUAAUAAGUGCUCAAUAAAUAUUGGCAAUAAUAAUAAUAUCAUCUUGAUCAUUAUGAUAAUUGUGAAAUAUGUUUCUUAGCUGUGAGCAGUCCAAAACCAAACUAUUAAGGCAAAGAGAACUUUAAAGAAAUGCUUUGUACUGACCAAACCAGAUAUAAACCCAAAUCCCCAACAUGUUCCCCCAACGUCUGGCAGCAUUUGGUUCAAAAUCUUAAUGCCGAUAAUCCCACAUGUUUUCCAAUCAGUGAUUUUACCAUAGGCCAUAGGAAGAAUUUAUCCAAAUCGUAAAUGCUAACAGGUUCAAACAGAUACUUAGCUAUCAAAAAGACAUAGUCAAGAGGAAAAUUGCUGAGUAUAAAAAUUCCAGCUGGGUUAAGCUGUCUCUUUUUUCUUGUGACCUUUUUGUAAAUAGUUGAAUAAGUUUCUGCCAAUCAUGUCAAACUCUCCAUUUUUUUUCUUAACUUUUUCCCAUGCUUGAGUCAGGCUGUCUCUGUUAGCAUUAUUUCGGUUGUGUAUAACAGAGAAACCUAACCUUGCUCCAGACUAGAAUGGCAGCUCCAUAAGUUAUCAAAGCCUCAGGACCCUUCCAGUUCAUUGCUCUGCCAUCUAUACGAUGUGAUUCUAAUCUUCAAGGUCCACAUGGCUGCUAGAGCUCCAACAUCACAUCUGUAUUCCAGGCAGUUGGAUUUUAGGGGUGAGCAAAGGAGUUAGAGGGAAAGCACUCCUCCUUCCUUUUAAGAAGAUUUCUUGGAGGAUCCUCAUAAUACUUCUGUUUCUAUUUUAUGGACCAGAACAUAGUCACGUCAUCACACCUAACCAACAAGAAGGCUGGGAAAUGUAGUCCUUUACCUACGCAAGAUGUGUGUUCAUUCACUAAAGAGAAAGAGGUGAAUCAAUAUUAUGAGUUAACAGACAGUCUGUGCCUCAAAGGACUGUGGACUAAGAAAUAAAAAGAAUCGUAGUGAAUUUACUGAAAUACUAAGUUAAGUUUUUGUGAAAAGAUAAUAUUUUCCAGGUUACUUUAUCCCUAAUGCAACCAAUAGCAAGGGGGGCAUCAUGAGGAAAGGAAUCAAAGCUUAAGAACAUGGAUUGGAGAAAAAAAUUAUCUGAAAAAAAAAAGAGACUAAAAAGGUAUGGGCAAAAAGGAACAGGUGAAGAGUGAAUUUCUGGGCCUUCAACACAGUUUAGAAAACUUACGAAUUAAACGCCAAGCUGGUAUUUUUCAGGUGGAAUAUUUCUGUACAACAUCGUUGGAUAUGCAGGAAUUAAAAUCAGAACGCCUCCAACAGUGUGCCCAUCGCUUUCGUGAUGAAUGCUUUCAGAAUAGGUCCUCAGACACUUAUAUCUACCUCUUAAUUAAACACAUGAGAAUUUGAUUUUUCACUUAUGAAAUAUUUUCUCCGGGCCGUAUUCAAAACAGCUCUUUGGCUGGCUGGGUUUGUGAAGAAUUGUGCAUAGCACCCGCUCUGCUGAAUUCCAUGGCACUCCAGAAGAUUUUAUGCAGUGAUGUCAAAGGGUAAUUUUGCAAAGUAUAAAUGUCAUCAGUAAAGAAACUCAAUUUAAAUGAAGAUAGCAUUACCAUUACUCUGAAGUUACCCAGUUAAUAGUAAAAUAAAAUUUAUCCUUUCUGUAAAGAACAUGAAAUCACAAAUCUACGGAGGGAAGUUCUUGGAUGUUUCUUCAUGCUGCCCUUGGUCUCUUGUUGUCUCUCUAGCAUCCCAACCACAAUGGGGUCAUUGUGUGGGCUCUGCUUCUGCCAGCUUUCCAUGCUCAGCCCUGAGGACCCAUGUCUAUGACCAGGUGAAUGUUCCAUUCCUUUAACACUGUGUGUAAGGUGAUUCUUUUUCUCGCUAAAUUGAAAUGUUUUAUGUUAUAAAAGCAUCAUUCAAAAGGACCAGGAAAAAUGGAGUACUAACAUUUAAAAGCCUUAUAGGUGAUCUGCUUUUCCCUGAAUAAGAUCCCUGAAUGAGUGAAUAAAUGAGGAAGAAUAUGAUGUAAAUAAGGGAUGCACUAAAACAAAAUGACAAAGUUUAAAAUAAAAGGAUGGGCCAAGAUUUUUCAGCCACGUCCCAGUUAAAAUGAAGCAGAAGAGGGACCAGUCCUGAGUGGUUGAAGUUCCACGCACCCCACUUCGGCAGCCCAGGUUCAUGGGUUGGGAACCCAGGUGUGGACCUACUCCACUCAUCAGCUGUGCUGUGGAGGCAUCCCACCUAUGAAGCAGAGGAAGACUGGCACAGAUGUUAGCUCAGGGCGAAUCUCUUCACAAAAAACAAUAAAGCAGGAUAAAUUGUAUAAAAUAGAAUCCAAGUGAAAAAGAAAUGAAUAGUGUAAAAGUCAUCAAUCCACAAUAAAAAACAUAUCAUUGACCUUUAAGCACUAAAUAAAAUAGUUUUAAAAUAUAGAAAGUAAUGAUUAUUAAAAAUCAAAGCAGAAACAAAGACAUAUAGUCUGGAAGACUUUAUAGACCAUUCUUAGCCUUUGACAGAUCAUGUACGCAAAAAAUAAACAAAGGCAUAAAGAAUUUGAAAUAUAGGGAAAAAAGGAACCCUGCAAAAAAUACAUAGUUCCUUGUGUGUUUGAUACAUAUAUGAAAAUUGACAGUGUGCUAGAUUCACUAGGUUAGCCGACCCAACAAUCAUUGUAAACUUUGUAGUCUACCAUAGAGACCGGAAAACUGAAAAGGAACCUGUCUGUAGGCUCUCCUGUGGCUGGGGGUGGGCGCCCACGUGGUUCAGUUCUAGCAAAGACACAUCAGCACAAAUCCGCUAGUGCUGCCUCUUCACCUUCUGCUUUUCUUCCUGCCUGGACUGUACACGCUUACCCAAGACGCAGCACCAUCUCUCCAUAUUGGCGGAGCAGGAGAAGAGAAAGAGCCUUGUUCCUGUGGAGAUCCUAGACUUCCUUCUGUGGACCUGUUCCGGGACACAAAUCAGACACUUCCUCAUUCCAGCCCCUUGAUUGGGUUUUCUGGCACUUGCUGCUGAGG
rnacentral:lncRNA from 1 species